rnacentral:piRNA from 1 species
UAAGGUUACCAGUUACACACUUCCUCAUUCU